UAGAGGUUUGGUCCUAGCCUUAAUAUCAGCUAUCUCUUGACUUACACAUGCAAGUCUCAGCACCCCCGUGAGAACGCCCUUCUUUUCUUUACCAGACCAAGGAGCCGGCAUCAGGCACAGACAUUCUAGCCCAAAACGCCUAGUUUUACCACGCCCCCAAGGGUACUCAGCAGUGACAAAUAUUGUUUAUAAGCGCCAGCUUGACUCAGUCAAAGAAAAUUAGAGCCGGCCAACCCGGUGCCAGCCGCCGCGGCUACACCAGCGGGCUCAAGUUGAUAACCACCGGCGUUAAGCGUGAUUAAGGGAUCCUCUAAUUAGAGUUAAAUUUAGACUUAGCUGUGAUAAGCUUGUUAUUUAGAAACCCAUAAACGAAAGUUACUCUAAUCAUCUUGAAUACACGACAGCCAGGGAACAAACUGGGAUUAGAUACCCCACUAUGCCUUGCCGUAAAACAUCUACCCACAUCUAUCAGCGCCCGGGUAUUACGAGCUUAAGCUUAAAACCCAAAGGACUUGACGGUGUCCCACCCACCUAGAGGAGCCUGUUCUAUAAUCGAUAUUCCCCGCUUCACCUCACCAUUUUUAGCCUAUCAGCCUGUAUACCUCCGUCGUAAGCUUACCAUGUGAACGCUCUUAGUAAGCACAAAGGUCCCUCACCAAAACGUCAGGUCAAGGUGCAGCUCAUAAAAUGGAAAGCAAUGGGCUACAAUUUCUAAUGCAGAACAAACGAAAGACUACAUGAAACACAGUCAUGAAGGCGGAUUUAGUAGUAAAAAGAAAAUAGUGUGUUCUUUUUAACUAGGCACUGGGACGCGUACACACCGCCCGUCACCCUCUUCGACAGCCUAACAACCAGUUUUUAACCUCAUUGAGCGUUUCAGAAGAGGUAAGUCGUAACAUGGUAAGUGUACUGGAAAGUGCACUUGGAA
rnacentral:ncRNA from 1 species